AGAAGUUUAGGAUAAAUAAGUCCAAGGGCCUUCAAAGCCCUAAGUAAAUACUAUCAUUUAACUUCUG
rnacentral:tRNA from 1 species